AUCCGGAUUUAUUGGGUUUAAAGGGAGCGUAGAUGGAUGUUUAAGUCAGUUGUGAAAGUUUGCGGCUCAACCGUAAAAUUGCAGUUGAUACUGGAUAUCUUGAGUGCAGUUGAGGCAGGCGGAAUUCGUGGUGUAGCGGUGAAAUGCUUAGAUAUCACGAAGAACUCCGAUUGCGAAGGCAGCCUGCUAAGCUGCAACUGACAUUGAGGCUCGAAAGUGUGGGUAUCAAACAGGAUUAGAUACCCUGGUAGUCCACACGGUAAACGAUGAAUACUCGCUGUUUGCGAUAUACUGCAAGCGGCCAAGCGAAAGCGUUAAGUAUUCCACCUGGGGAG
rnacentral:rRNA from 1 species